AUUGAACGCGGGCGGCAGGCCUAACACAUGCAAGUCGAGCGGCAGCGGAAAGUAGCUUGCUACUUUUGCCGGCGAGCGGCGGACGGGUGAGUAAUGUCUGGGAAACUGCAUGAUGGAGGGGGAUAACUACUGGAAACGGUAGCUAAUACCGCAUGACCUCGAAAGAGCAAAGUGGGGGAUCUUCGGACCUCACGCCAUCGGAUGUGCCCAGAUGGGAUUAGCUAGUAGGUGAGGUAAUGGCUCACCUAGGCGACGAUCCCUAGCUGGUCUGAGAGGAUGACCAGCCACACUGGAACUGAGACACGGUCCAGACUCCUACGGGAGGCAGCAGUGGGGAAUAUUGCACAAUGGGCGCAAGCCUGAUGCAGCCAUGCCGCGUGUGUGAAGAAGGCCUUAGGGUUGUAAAGCACUUUCAGCGAGGAGGAAGGCACCAUACUUAAUACGUGUGGUGAUUGACGUUACUCGCAGAAGAAGCACCGGCUAACUCCGUGCCAGCAGCCGCGGUAACACGGAGGGUGCAAGCGUUAAUCGGAAUUACUGGGCGUAAAGCGCACGCAGGCGGUUUGUUAAGUCAGAUGUGAAAUCCCCGCGCUUAACGUGGGAACUGCAUUUGAAACUGGCAAGCUAGAGUCUUGUAGAGGGGGGUAGAAUUCCAGGUGUAGCGGUGAAAUGCGUAGAGAUCUGGAGGAAUACCGGUGGCGAAGGCGGCCCCCUGGACAAAGACUGACGCUCAGGUGCGAAAGCGUGGGGAGCAAACAGG
rnacentral:rRNA from 1 species